GGAAGGGUGUCUGAGUGGUUGAAAGAACACGAUUGGAAAUCGUGUAUAGCCGUAAGGUUAUCAUGGGUUCGAAUCCCAUCCCUUCCGCCA
rnacentral:tRNA from 3 species